rnacentral:rRNA from 1 species
CCCAGACUCCUACGGGAGGCAGCAGUGAGGAAUAUUGGUCAAUGGUCGGGAGACUGAACCAGCCAAGCCGCGUGAGGGAUGAAGGUACAGAGUAUCGUAAACCUCUUUUGUCAGGGAACAAAGGCGCCCACGGGUGGGCGGAUGCGUGUACCCGAAGAAAAAGCAUCGGCUAACUCCGUGCCAGCAGCCGCGGUAAUACGGAGGAUGCGAGCGUUAUCCGGAUUUAUUGGGUUUAAAGGGUGCGUAGGCGGACAGUCAAGUCAGCGGUAAAAAUGCGGUGCUCAACGCCGUACAGCCGUUGAAACUGGCAGUCUUGAGUGGGCGAGAAGUAUGCGGAAUGCGUGGUGUAGCGGUGAAAUGCAUAGAUAUCACGCAGAACUCCGAUUGCGAAGGCAGCGUACCGGCGCCCAACUGACGCUCAUGCACGAAAGCGUGGGUAUCGAACAGGAUUAGAUCCCCGAGUA